rnacentral:lncRNA from 1 species
GCAGAGCAGGUCCUCCACUCGGGGAUGCCAACUGAAGAGAAAUUAAAUGAACUGCUCAACCACAAGUGCCUGAGGAAUUGCAGAGAUUUCACUGGAAAAUACUGACAAUACUGGCGUCUGCCAUGUUCAGUGGCUGAAGAAACGGGGCUGUGCUCCAUCAAUUCAAAGGACAUCCUCAUAAUAAACAUACGGAAUGAGUGGGAGAAAAUGUCACCUGGCUACUAAGAAUCCUGUGAAGUGGAUUAUUCAUGUGUAAUCCAUGAAGAUGCAGAAUCUUAGAAGAAUCAGAAAUUUGUCUAAAUGUGUUCACAUUUGUGGAAACAACCUUCUAAAUCAGGGCUGUCAAACUUCUGAAUUCGUUAAUCGCGGCACGGAGCUUUUAGUGAUUGGGUUGAAUGAGUAAAUUGGAAUAAAUUGCUAACAAUAGUAAGCCAUAUUCAAUAACUCUAAUAAAAGUAUUACAUCUCC